GACGAACGCUGGCGGCGCGCCUAACACAUGCAAGUCGAACGGAGCUGAGAGAAGCUUGCUUUUCUUAGCUUAGUGGCGAACGGGUGAGUAACGCGUGAGUAACCUGCCCUGGAGUGGGGGACAGCAGUUGGAAACGACUGCUAAUACCGCAUAAGCCCACGAUCCAGCAUCGGAUUGAGGGAAAAGGAUUUAUUCGCUUCAGGAUGGACUCGCGUCCAAUUAGCUAGUUGGUGAGGUAACGGCCCACCAAGGCGACGAUUGGUAGCCGGACUGAGAGGUUGAACGGCCACAUUGGGACUGAGACACGGCCCAGACUCCUACGGGAAGCAGCAGUGGGGGAUAUUGCACAAUGGGGGAAACCCUGAUGCAGCGACGCCGCGUGGAGGAAGAAGGUUUUCGGAUUGUAAACUCCUGUCGUUAGGGACGAUAAUGACGGUACCUAACAAGAAAGCACCGGCUAACUACGUG
rnacentral:rRNA from 1 species